GAUGAAGAACGUAGCGAAAUGCGAUAAGUAGUGUGAAUUGCAGAAUUCAGUGAAUCAUCGAAUCUUUGAACGCACAUUGCGCCUCCUGGUAUUCCGGGAGGCAUGUCUGUUCGAGCGUCAUUAAAAUCACUCAAGCUUAGGUUUACCUAUUGCUUGGUCUUGGAGAUGGAAGCCAAUUUAUUGGAAUCCUCUUCGAAAUUCAAUGGCGAAGACCCUUGCUCUCCCAAGUGUAGUAAUAACUUAUGUCACUGAAGGAAGCGAGAAAUCUUCUGCCGUAACCCCCAUAUUUUCUAUGAUUGACCUCGGAUCAGGUAGGGAUACCCGCUGAACUUAAGCAUAUCAAUAAGCGGAGGA
rnacentral:misc_RNA from 1 species